AGCUCAGUAGGGACCAGGAGCCUAGAAGUGGAUUUCCGAAGGAAGGCAGCAGCCAGAGGGUUGAGAGCCAGGAUAUGCUGAUCCUGACCAAGGACGGAUUAAUCCAACAAUUGUCACAAAAUGCCAUAUCUCCCCUGCUGUGGCUUCCAGAUUUGGAGAUUCGAUAAUGAAGAUUGAUCAAGCAGAGAUAAAAAUGUAUGCUUUGACUUUGAGGUGGGGGUGGCAGGGAGUGGGAAGAGGAUAGAAGUUGGGAAGAAGAAGGAGGUUGAAUUUGAUAUGUUGAUUAAAUAUGUAGGUUUCAGUGAUCUGUUUGACUGGGCAGGCAAGAUGCCUGAGAAGCAAUUACAAAGAGGACAAAGAGGACACCCAAAGGAGAAACGAUAAGAAGCAGGCAAUUCAUUGAGGUGCAAUCCUUUCCUCAUUGCUUCCCCCUGCUUCUGUGUAGUUGACCCUCAAGUCACAGGGGGUGUUUCAAUCAGUCCUUAACAGGCUGGACCCAGGGGUAUCUGAAGGACCCCUUUCUCCCAUAAUCACCUCUCCUUUCACUUAGAUCACAACUGGAGGCCCUGCUUUGGAUGUACCAUCUUCUGAGCUUUGCCAGACGGCUACUGGAGACAGGGUCUUCAUGCCUCCAAAACCUGAACAGCAACAGUCCACCCUGCAACAAUUAUGCUGCAAGGGCCCACGUGUUUCUCAGUACAGUAUAAAAUUAUUCCUGAUUUUC